AUUGAACGCUGGCGGCAGGCCUAACACAUGCAAGUCGAGCGGAGCGGCGGACGGGUGCGUAAUGCCUAGGAAUCUGCCUGGUCGUGGGGGAUAACGUUCGGAAACGGGCGCUAAUAUCGCAUACUCUCAGAUGAGCCUCGGUCGGAUUAGCUGGUUGUUGGGGUAAAGGCCUACCAAGGCCACGAUCCGUACCUGGUCUGAGAGGAUGAUCAUUCACACUGGAACUGAGACACGGGCCAGACUACUACGAGAGGCAGCAGUGGGGAAUAUUGGACAAUGGGCGAAAGCCUGAUGCAGCCAUGCCGCGUGUGUGAAGAAGGUCUUCGGGUUGUAAAGCACUUUAAGUUGGGAGGCGUUACCAACAGAAUAAGCACCGGCUAACUUCGUGCCAGCAGCCGCGGUAAUAC
rnacentral:rRNA from 1 species